rnacentral:rRNA from 1 species
CACCGCCCGUCACACCAUGGGAGUGGAGGAUACCAGAAGUUAUUAGACUAACUCGCAAGAGAGGUCGAUUACCACGGUAUGUUUCAUGACUGGGGUG